rnacentral:rRNA from 1 species
UGAGUAACACGUAUCCAACCUGCCGUCUACUCUUGGACAGCCUUCUGAAAGGAAGAUUAAUACAAGAUGGCAUCAUGAGUUCACAUGUUCACAUGAUUAAAGGUAUUCCGGUAGACGAUGGGGAUGCGUUCCAUUAGAUAGUAGGCGGGGUAACGGCCCGCCUAGUCUUCGAUGGAUAGGGGUUCUGAGAGGAAGGUCCCCCACAUUGGAACUGAGACACGGUCCAA